GGGUUGUGAGGUUAAGCGACUAAGCGUACACGGUGGAUGCCCUGGCAGUCAGAGGCGAUGAAGGACGUGCUAAUCUGCGAUAAGCGUCGGUAAGGUGAUAUGAACCGUUAUAACCGGCGAUUUCCGAAUGGGGAAACCCAGUGUGUUUCGACACACUAUCAUUAACUGAAUCCAUAGGUUAAUGAGGCGAACCGGGGGAACUGAAACAUCUAAGUACCCCGAGGAAAAGAAAUCAACCGAGAUUCCCCCAGUAGCGGCGAGCGAACGGGGAGCAGCCCAGAGCCUGAAUCAGUGUGUGUGUUAGUGGAAGCGUCUGGAAAGGCGCGCGAUACAGGGUGACAGCCCCGUACACAAAAAUGCACAUGCUGUGAGCUCGAUGAGUAGGGCGGGACACGUGGUAUCCUGUCUGAAUAUGGGGGGACCAUCCUCCAAGGCUAAAUACUCCUGACUGACCGAUAGUGAACCAGUACCGUGAGGGAAAGGCGAAAAGAACCCCGGCGAGGGGAGUGAAAAAGAACCUGAAACCGUGUACGUACAAGCAGUGGGAGCACGCUUAGGCGUGUGACUGCGUACCUUUUGUAUAAUGGGUCAGCGACUUAUAUUCUGUAGCAAGGUUAACCGAAUAGGGGAGCCGAAGGGAAACCGAGUCUUAACUGGGCGUUAAGUUGCAGGGUAUAGACCCGAAACCCGGUGAUCUAGCCAUGGGCAGGUUGAAGGUUGGGUAACACUAACUGGAGGACCGAACCGACUAAUGUUGAAAAAUUAGCGGAUGACUUGUGGCUGGGGGUGAAAGGCCAAUCAAACCGGGAGAUAGCUGGUUCUCCCCGAAAGCUAUUUAGGUAGCGCCUCGUGAAUUCAUCUCCGGGGGUAGAGCACUGUUUCGGCAAGGGGGUCAUCCCGACUUACCAACCCGAUGCAAACUGCGAAUACCGGAGAAUGUUAUCACGGGAGACACACGGCGGGUGCUAACGUCCGUCGUGAAGAGGGAAACAACCCAGACCGCCAGCUAAGGUCCCAAAGUCAUGGUUAAGUGGGAAACGAUGUGGGAAGGCCCAGACAGCCAGGAUGUUGGCUUAGAAGCAGCCAUCAUUUAAAGAAAGCGUAAUAGCUCACUGGUCGAGUCGGCCUGCGCGGAAGAUGUAACGGGGCUAAACCAUGCACCGAAGCUGCGGCAGCGACGCUAUGCGUUGUUGGGUAGGGGAGCGUUCUGUAAGCCUGUGAAGGUGUGCUGUGAGGCAUGCUGGAGGUAUCAGAAGUGCGAAUGCUGACAUAAGUAACGAUAAAGCGGGUGAAAAGCCCGCUCGCCGGAAGACCAAGGGUUCCUGUCCAACGUUAAUCGGGGCAGGGUGAGUCGACCCCUAAGGCGAGGCCGAAAGGCGUAGUCGAUGGGAAACAGGUUAAUAUUCCUGUACUUGGUGUUACUGCGAAGGGGGGACGGAGAAGGCUAUGUUGGCCGGGCGACGGUUGUCCCGGUUUAAGCGUGUAGGCUGGUUUUCCAGGCAAAUCCGGAAAAUCAAGGCUGAGGCGUGAUGACGAGGCACUACGGUGCUGAAGCAACAAAUGCCCUGCUUCCAGGAAAAGCCUCUAAGCAUCAGGUAACAUCAAAUCGUACCCCAAACCGACACAGGUGGUCAGGUAGAGAAUACCAAGGCGCUUGAGAGAACUCGGGUGAAGGAACUAGGCAAAAUGGUGCCGUAACUUCGGGAGAAGGCACGCUGAUAUGUAGGUGA
rnacentral:rRNA from 1 species